UUAAGACCUCAAACUGGAUGUGGAAGGAGAUGAAAGCCUGCUAAGAGGAAGACCAAAUGCUUGAAUCCUUGAUUUGGACUUUCCAUGAUCUUUUGACACCCUUACUGCUCAGCUCCUCUUCUACAAAAUACAAACAGUAGAACAUUUCUAUAGCCUGACUGUGUUACUCAGAUCAUGAAGACCUUUCAUGAAGCAAGUUAAGAAGCAUCUCUCCAUUCCUUGUUCACUUCUGAAGUCUCUUCCUCUAACUACAGCUAGGAAGCCUGCUCCACUUUUACAUCAUGCCCAUGGAGUUAACCUAGGAUAAAAAUUCCCAUCUUACAGUUCAUAUCUCAAUCCUUUUUUACUACAUAAAGUAACGUGUCUUCAAUGCUAAGGACCAUUACUCUUCCUACCACCUCAGCCAAGGAUUGGAAAUGAAAAAAAA